CUCAGCCUCCCAAAGUACUGAGAUUACAGGCGUGAGCCACCGUGGCUGGCUUGCUUUCUUUUCUUUUUCUUUUUUUUUUCUUUCUUUCUUUCUUUGUUUCUUUCUUUCCUUUCUUUUCUUUCUUUCUGUCUUUCUCUUUCUUUUUCUUUUCUUUCUUCUUUCUUUUCUUCUCUCCCUCCCCUCCCCUCCCCUCCCCUUCCUUCCUUCCUUCCUUCACUCCUUCCUUCCUUCCUUCCAACAGGGACGGUUUAUGGUACUUUAGAUUAGGUUUUGUUACUUGGAACAUUGCAUUCAUAAGAAUCUAGUUAACCUUCCAGGCCCUAAGAAAUCUAGAUUAUAACAAGGGGUAAUUUGAAAGUGGACACAUACCUUCUCAGACCUUGAGCAAGAAACAGAUUUCACUAAAAGUGAGUCUUUUAAUUCAGAAAGAUGUACUCAAUAUUUAAUUAAAGAUAUGAGAUCUAACGAUGUAGGCAGGCUGCGGGAGCAGGGAGUAUGCCCUGUGUAAGGACUCCAUUCAAGAUCCAGAUCAAGAAGUGAGGGGGAAGAUGGAGCUGAGGAUGACACACACUCCUGGUUACAUGUGAGCCAGCUAGUUUGUGUAUGUGUGUGUUUUGGGGGAGGGGCUUGAUACAUUAGAAUUUAAGGAACCCAGCAUGUGAAAGGGCUUUUGUGUGCAUCACAGCGACCUGCUCCACACAAACCAAGGGAACAUAUACUCCCAGGUCAGCAAAGGUAAUGGAUUUGGUGAUUGCAAGUUUAAGAAAACAGACUAAAAUUUAAGCUACAGAAUACCUCCGUUCGCUCUCUCUAUGGAUCCUUAUUCAGCGUUAAUAAAUAAAUGGCUCUGUUUAAAGAUAAAUACUAUUAAGAUAGGAACCAACGUGGGACUUGAGCUUAGAUAUAUAAGGAACAUAGCAAAAAAAAGAUGAAGGAAGUGGAUCACAGAAGGUAUUACCUUCCAAAAACAUGGAAAGAGUUCAAACAAUUUUCCAUAGUCUCAGAGAAAUUAUAGAUAAUGUGAUCAUUCUCUUAAAAAAAAAAAAGAAAGGGUUCAGGCAUGGUGGCUCACGCCUGUAAUCCCAACACUUUGGGAGGCCGAGGCGGGCAGAUCAUGAGGUCAGGAGAUCAAGACCAUCCUGGCUAACAUGGUGAAACCCUGUCUCUACUAAAAAUACAAAAAAAAAUUAGCUGGGCAUAGUGACAGGCACCUGUAGUCCCAGCUACUCGGGAGGUUGAGGCAGGAGAAUGGCGUGAACCCGGGAGGCAGAGCUUUCAGUGAGCCGAGAUCAUGCCACUGCACUCCAGCCUAGGCGAUGGAGUGAGACUCCCUCUCAAAAAAAAAAAAAAAGGAAAAAAGCACUGUUCUUUGGGUUAUAAGAAUUUAAAUGAGAGAUUCUAAGCCCAUAUAAGGAGAUGAAAAAUAAGCUUACAGUACGCAAAAAAGAAAUGAAAGAAAAAUGUAUCAAGAGGAAAGCUACAUUAGGAAUAAAAAAUUAGAAUAAAACAGGUGAAAAUACAGUAGGACAUGGUGGACAGGCUAGAAGAAAUCUUACAAAAAGAAAUGAAUAAUAAAGCUAUGAAAAUGAUUAUUGAGAUAGAUAUGGAAGAAUGAAACUUGUUUUCCUGAAGAAGAUAAUUAUCUUCCUUCACUUCCUCUGCUAACGCUGUCUUACUGUGAAUUGUCAGACACUUUUCUAAGUCCUUUGCGUAUAUUAAGUCAUUUAAUAUUCACAACAACUCAUGAAGAAUGGAAGAGAUCAGAGCAGAAAGAAGAAAAAUAUUAAGACAUAACAGAAGAAAACUUUCUGAAACAAAUACUUAAAUCUGAAGCUCAAAUGGACACAUGGUAUUCCAAGAAAAAUUUGAUAUGGAAUAAUCCAUACUAAGACAUUUCCACCAGUGCUCAGCACUAGAACACUACCCAGUACAUAGUACGCACUCAGUGAAUAAUUGUUGAUUGGGCGGGCAAAUGGAAGAAAGUUUCAUAUGGCUCUCCCGGCUGAAUGAACAAGUCACAUAAAAGGAGAAGAAGACAGGCUGGCUUCUGGUUUUCUUAAAGAAUCACUCAGUGCCAGAAGGCAGUAAUGUCUAUGAAGUCCUAAGUGUAAUAAGGGGUAACUGAAGAAUUGUAUUGCCAGUCCAGUUGUACAGAAGCAACAGAUAGACACUUUCAAUAUGAAUGAACUGAGGGAAUAUACUACUCAUGCACUUUCCAGAAAACCUGUAGACAACAAAAUGAUGAGUCAAAAUUCAAAACCUAGAAAUGAAGAAGCUAUGGUAAAAGCAUUCAUGGUGAGUACAGUAAUGAUUUUGUUUUCGUAUUGGAUUAAAACUAAACAACUCUGCUUAUGGAACAGAAACCUUGACAAUGUGGUAGUAAUAUAAAUAACCAAAACCAGUACUUGGGAGGAAGUGUGAGUACUGAUUUCUUUACUUUCAUAAUGGGGAAUAGAUUUGUCAGUAGCUAAAGUCUGAAAUUGCAAUAUAUAGUUGAAAAAAUAAUGAUUUCAGCAUCCUAAUGUUUUUCAUUACUUUUUUCUUAACUUUAGAGAGAUCUUUUAGAAACUAUUCUCUCUUUGUGAAGACCCAUUCAUCUGAAGUUCUACAAUUCCUUCAGUUUCACCUCAAUUUCUGUUUCUUUGUUAAGUUCAAGCAAAGUUUAUACUUAAUGCUUUUUCACUACAAUAACAUGUAUGGUAUGAUUCCAUUUAUAUGUAUCCAUUUACCUGCCCUCCCUCCUGCCCUUCUGUUCUUUCAUUCUUCUAUCUUUUCCUCUGAACAUCUGCAGAAAUAUGUCUGGAAUGAUGUUGACCACAUAUUAUGAUGUUUAUUUCUGGGUGGUGGGAUCCUGGAUAAUUUUUUUAAAAUCUUCUUUGUACUUUAUUAUAUUGCCUGGCUUUUAAAAAAUAAUAAAUAUAUCAUUUUUUCAAAAACAA
rnacentral:lncRNA from 1 species